UUGGCAACAGUUGUUAGCUCAGGUGCCAAUCUUAAGAAAAAAAAAGAUAUUCAGUGUUUAUGAUUAUUUUUAGUACAAAUAUGCAUACACAUCUUUCAUUCCUUGAAAAGUAGUGUUGACUUAGGAGUUUUGCUCAGGACAUAGCUUGUUGUAUUUUUUUCCCUGCAAUCUGUUGUUAGUUACAGUAGGAAGAGAAAACAGGUUAGAAUCUACCUAAGCCAGUUGCAGUUUUCAUAAAAUAAACUAGGUGGUUCCAAGCCUCCUUCCAGCCUGAUACAUCUAUGAAAUUAAAAGCAAAUCUGAAUGCGUGAAAGAUAUGUAUUUAAACAUGUUGAUAAUAAGUGUGUUAUCCCUAUAAUUUAGAUGCUAAUACAUUGAUGUCAUAAUAAUAAUACCUUGCAUUUGUACAGCACUUUACAGUUUACACAAUGCCUUAACACCCAUCUCUCUGAGCCUCCUAACAACCCCACAGGGUGGGGAUAAGUAUACCCACAUUUGAGGAUAGGCCCAGGCUCACAGAUCCUGCACUGUGACUGUGAUCCCUGGGCUGGUCAACAUGCAGGUGUCAGGAGCUGUUCCUGCUGUACAACAGACGCUGUUUCCUAACACCAUGCCAGGUGUCGUAAAAGUUCACCCUAUUCCUCGUUUGAGACACUAUUGGUUUUUAGCUAUUGAGGCCUCCUAGUCACUUUUAGUCCUAUUGGUGAAUCAGAAGACUAAUAUAAAGUGUCCUUCGAGGUUUCUGUUAUACUUCCAUUAUUAUACCUAAUGCUCCACACAAUCUCUGUGUGUUCCACUCCAUUUUGUUCCUUCCUCAGUUUUUCUCGUUUUGAAGUACUUUUUCAGACUCUCUUUAUAUGUAUUAUAAUUGCCCAUUUCAUAAAAUAUAGGGCAAUGAAUUUAUGAGCCUUGAAAACAUUUACUUUAGAAAUUAGAAUUAUGACUUUUUAAAGUUGUGUCAUAAACUUCUGUAAAUUUGCCAGACCGAUAAAUACUUGAAGAGAAAAUGAGGGGAGAAAGUAACUUGGUGUAGCAGUUGGGUCGGUUAGCAAUGCCGAUGGCUACCUGUGGUAAUUCCCUCACACAGAUGUGUAAAGAGUCCUUGCUGUGACUUAAAUGGAGCACACACUUAAACUCAUUAGGGUGUGUAAGCAGCUAUUACGAGAAGAGACAAACUUCACAAGUAGUGUGGCACUACAGGAUUGCUCAUUUCCUAGCAUUCUCUUUCUAAGAAGCCAUUCUGGCUGGGAAUACACUUUGAAGCAUUGACUUUACGGAGAAAUUAGUAUGAAAUUCAAACUUAUUCACUUUGAGGAGCUUUGUUGGUUGAACAAAUGGAAUGUGAAUGACAGUAGAUCUCUCACUGUUGGUGAUACACCUUUUCUAAGAGAAAUUUCAAAAUACAGUGCAGUGCCUGUUUUCCUCCAUUUGGAAAGAAAGAACUUUAUUUUGUUAUUGUUUAUUCUUAACCUACUGGAAACUUUUCAGUACUCCUGCAGAAAUUCGCCAACAGCAUGUUUAUAUUUCAUAAUUAUCAAGUGAACUAGGAAAAAGUCUCGUAUGUGAUCUGAACCAUUGAUCUCCAGCUGCUGUCGGUGAACUGCAGUUUAGAGAAUAUCACUAAGUGGACACAUUGAUUUUUUGAGCCUGAGAUGAUGCAUCUCUUUUUGAAAAGAAAAGAAAACUUUUCCAUUAAGCAGGCAGUUAGUGUAUUCAUUUCAGAAUGGUUUUAGGAAGUGCGCCUCUCCGUCUUUCAAAAGUUACUUGGGCAAAAGCUAUGCCAUUUCACCUUCAACCAACAAAGUCUGCCCAGCCAAGGCAGAGUAGAAAGUUGAGCAAUUUGGUGAAACAGGAAAACAUUGUCAGACAAGUUGCUCGGUUUUUCACUUCACUUUUGGCUUCUAGAGACUCGUUCUUGUUUAAUUGCAAACUUAGUGAUGUGCCUGGUUUGGAGGAGAGAUAUUGAGUGAGAAAAGUCCUAGGUGGAUGGAAGACUCGGGUGGUUAUCUGAGUUCAUCUUCUCUCAUGACUCAGUAUUGUUCUUAAAGUCUCGACUAGAAAAGCUAGGCUUUUACAUUGUUGGGCAAUGGCUACUAAAUAGUCAUAAUGUUGCCCGGUUGCAAAAACAAAACAUUCAAACUAUAGCCAGGGAAAUAAGUAGUCAUGAAUUCAAGGCCUGAACUAUGCUAAUGAAACCAAUGAAAACGGGGUGCCAAGGGUCAGGCUCUUGUGCAGCUGUUGUCAGACCAAUACAGGGAAGGAGGAGAGAAAGCAGUCCCAUGGUAAAGGAAAGUUGUUUUUUGUUGACCCCCCCAUUUACCUUGUACUUCCCUUCUCUUCGGUUGUUCAGUCCCGCACUGCACGUUGUCAGGUACCUGAAAGCAGUUACUUCAAACAUUUGGCUUGGCUUUCUGCUUGUUCACAGCAAGUCUGGUACCAGUUACUCAGCAGUGGCCUGAAUCAGAAGCGUGUGGAUGAAAUUUUUAUAACUUAAAAACUUCAUUCCACAGUCGGUGCUUUUCCAAUUGGGGUCCAUGGAAACUGUUUUUCUGUAAAGAGGGCCCAUGUAUAAUUAAAUUCGAGAACUGUCACUGUAAGUGAAUGUAUGUCCUAGAUGUAAUGGAACUCAGAGGAACAGAGAGAGAGGCUGUCUUGUUCAACGCACUGUAUUAGGGACCUGAUCAUUAAGUGCUUGGUUGACAUUUGGAUAGCAAAAAUAAACAAAGGCUCGGCAGUCCUGUUGUACAUGUCACGCUGUAAGAAGACCUAGAAGACAGGUGUGAGAAGCAGUGGAGAUGGUGAAGUUUGGAAGCCUGGAGAACAGUUUGAACAGCUGAGGAUGUUUAAUGGGAAGGAGAGGAACUUUUAGGGACUAUAUCUGCCUCUCUUGGCUGGCAGGGAAAAGAGGAUGUGGGGAUCAGCAAAGGUAGUAAAACGCACUGGAGGCACAAAUCAUUUCAGCUCAUAAUCCAGAGAGGAAUGUGCUUCAUUGAGGGAGAGCCACUCUGAACCUGGAGGUUUUUGGGGACUGAGCAGUCACUCAUGGGGUUAUUACUGAGGUGUGAGUUCGUUUAUAGAGAGGGUGAGAAUAGGAGGUCUAGGAAUACUUGAGUAUGUAGGUAUUUAAGAAAUAAACUCUGUGCAUCCUGUUACUUUUCAUAUUUUCUUGUGCUGACACAGUGGUUGCAAAGGAAGCAGUCCUUGAACUGUGACCCCAACAGGCGGGGAGCAAGAAGCUAACUCUUCCUGAGGGGUUGACACUGAAGGAUGCCGGGGAGAGAUGGGGGUUUGCUCUUGGCUGAUAGCCUUCUCUUUCUUAGACCAACUAAUGAAGCUCUGAUACAUGGCUGUCCUCUUAACUCACACACUCAUGGUGAAGCAGAAAUUCAGAAUUCCCUGAAUGUGUCACAGUUUGUAAGCAAGUGUUCUGAAACAGGUUUUUGUAUAGGUUAGAAUCAGCGUUGUCUCCACUGAGUCAGGUUCCAACAGUGAAAUUUGCUUGUUGGAGACUCUUGUUGCAGGGACAUAUGAGUUUUCUGCAUCAAGCUUGGAAUCUGGCCAUGUGGAGGUCAGAAGAAUGAUUUUUUUCCCCAGGAAAAUAUAAAAAGUGGAUUAUACCUCUGUAGCUAUGUUGCCUAUGAACUUUCUGUAGAACUACUGUACAUAUGUGUCCUGCAUUUCUUCCAAGAGCUGUUAAUCCUGAUACCGACAGUUGACAUCAAGUAGAAUUCAGGAAUAAUGAAGAAAAAGGUGGGCUUAGAAAAUUUACAUAAUUAUGUAAGUCCUCUGUUUGAUAUAAUUGGAACAUUUUUCCAUUGAGAGAAGCUUUGGUAAAUAAAAAAAGGAGUGGAUUAGACCUUUGCAAUGUAUUUUAUCCAUUACUAUUUUUAUUUCAGAACUGAUUUGAAAUAUUGCAAAGUAAUAUUUAAUAGUACUUUCCUAAACUCUUCUUUACUCUGCAUUUCAUCAUUGGAUUACUAAAUAAUUGGAGAGAGACUUUGUUUUUGUUUUUCGGUGUCUACUUAUAAACCAUGUUUUUUGAAUUACCAUGUUUUGGGGACAGCAUGCUUUUUCCCAGAAAAUCUCAGGUUAACAUUAAAUAAGCACUGUAUGUUUAUCUGAUCUUGUUUAUAGGAGCAUGAAAAAUUCAGUAACCUUUGUAUAUACUUUACUACUAACUAGCUAAGAGGUCAUUGGAACAUUUAGAAUUCCACUAUAAACUUCUAAAAUUGUCAGGUGAAGUCUACUGCAUCUAUAUCAGAGGAUGUUUGUUAUUCAUGUAGGAAUAAAAUUAGCUAUGUGAGAAAGAAUAUGUAUGGUUCUAUUUGGAAAUCUCUACAUUCAGGGACAGAAACCCAGCCAACUUCGUGUCUUUCCUGAGUUAACCAGGCCACUCUGGACUGUUCACAAUGGUGGACGACCUUAGUAAAUUCUGUCUGGGCUUCUAUUCUGGUCAAGGUCGUGACUACACACAUGAUGUUAGAGUCAUUGAUUAUGGUAGAAGUUAUCUAUAAAGACAGGAAGUGAGCCUGAGGUACUCUGCACUUCUUUUCUGACAUUCUAAACUCAUGAUCAUUAUUUGUCUCCUGGUAGAGCUUUCUUACUAGAUUGGAAGCUCCAUGCAAAAAGCAGCUCUUAUGAUUCCUUCAGCCCAUAACUCCCAGCACCAUGCCGUGUACACAGUGGGCACUAAAUAAAUACCAACUGUGUGAAUUGAACAUAUCUAAGGUAUGAUUGCAUUUCAAAUAAACUUCUGAAAUCCUAACACAUCUUUAUUCACUGACAAGCAUGUGUUGAAAAAACAAAGAAAAAAGAGACUUUGUUUGAACCCGCAAAUGAUUAGGUUAUAAUGAUCUUAGUUAAUGAAUUUCCUCAUUGGCCUUCUUUAUACUUAAUUAGGAGUACAUAGAAAAACAAACAUGUCUAAAGGAGUGUGACAAGUGUUUUCUUACAUAUUUUACUUUUCAGAGAAUUCAUCUCUAAAGGAAAGAACAUACAUUGGUUUAAAAGUAUUUUUAAGGAAUUAGUCGUUGGAUUAAAAUAGAAUUAUCAAGAAAAAGUGAAUCUUUACUUCAUGCAAUCGGGAUUAGACCUCUUCAUAUAGAAGGAUCUGAGAAUUAUCUGUAGUGUUCACCAUCAUGCAAACAACUCAGGGGUAUAGAUAUCUGUUUUUUUAAAAAUUCAACUUAGUAGAAAUUGGCAGGCAGUUUAGAGUAAUACAUGAUCUUCAGAGUCCGCUUACUAAUUACAAAAACUAAUUAUUUUGCAUGGAAUAUGAUAAAGUGAUUUUAAGUGUAUAAUAAAAGGUCAUAACCAUGACAACUCUUAAAUAUUACGUCAAAGAAAAAUAAGUUUGACUUUCAUUUACCUUGGAAAUAACUGUUAACUGUAACUUCAAGAAACACUAUAAACAAUGAGCUUGCUCCAUGCCAGAGUGUUGUGAAAGUCAAAUAGCUGGUGGUUAUUUAUUAAUGACAAGAGGCAGAAGUCAUGUCCUAUAUGUCUGUGUGUCUUGAUCUGCCCAGAGUUGGCACAGUGAUGAAAAGACCACAGGUACUAAAUGGGAAGUUAUUAAUAAAAUAAAAUGGAAUUUCAAGGACAGGGAAAGCAAAGUUUGUUUAAUUCUGUGACUCAUAUCCCAGGUAUCAUAUGUUUUUUUUACACUCAGUGCAAGAUUUCCCCUGUUUUGAUUUCUAUUUCUGUGUGGCAUGGAUGUGGGUGAGAAUCUUCUUUACAAAGGAAGUUAAAGCAGUUUACUCUAUGUCAGUGUGUGGGAAAGUUAUGAAGAUAGAAAAUUUUGAAACAGCAACCAGAUGAUUUUUUGAAUCUUCAAACCAGAAGACCUAAAAUAGGGGGAAUCAAAAGAAAUAUCGACACAAAAUAAUCAUAGCAGGUCAGACUUUGCUGCCAUACAUGAGUCUGAAGAGCAGUGUUGGUCUUGACUUUGCACAUAGAAGUUUAACUAAUGGUUCUUUCUCAUUUUACCUCUAGAAAUGGAAAUUAGCAUUGCAGGUGACUUUAUUGGAAUGUAGAGGCUGUCUGUGAACUUCCUUUUGUUGUUUUUAAAAUAGACUAUUACAUUUAAAUGUCAAAUAUUAUGAUAAACUGGCGUCUUUUAGAAGUAUAAAGCAUAUCCCUCUAUUAGUAUAUGUUCUGCCUAUUUCAGGUUUAUACUGCCGUUUAAUGACUAUCUACUAUAUGCAAGGUGUUACCCUCAAAGGUAGGACCUAAAAUACUGCCUAGGACUUGAGUUGCAGAUCAAGUUAAUAGAUUUCAAGAAUAUGGAGGUCUAGACCAGUCGUUCUCAACUGAAGACAAUUUUGCCUCUCCCAGACCCCCUCCCCUCUGCGCCCCCAGAGACAUUUGGCAGUGUCUGGAGCAAUUUUUGGUUUUCACACUGGACUAUGUAACUGGGAUCUAGUGGGUGGAGGCCAGGGAUGCUGUGAAGCCUUCUUGAAUGCCUAGGACAGCAGCCACCAUGAGAAAUGAUCCCAGCCCUGAAUGUGAAUAGUGCCGAGGCUGAGAAACCCUGGGCUAGGCCAAGCCAGCCAUAAUCAGCUCUUACUUACCCAUCUUCUUUAAUAUUGCACCAGAAUACACUUGUAUUCUUUAUUCCUCUUGCUUUGGAGUUAACUAUCCCUGUGCCUGAAUUUCUUAUGUGCCCAGAAGUACAGCAGCCAGCAUGGAGUUUGGCAUUCCUAUCAGGUGGCACUUGGACCAGCAUGCCAACUUCACCUGCACCAGCUUGCCCAACCUGAAAACUCACCGAGGGAAAGCAAUUAAGGCAUCGUGUGAAGACGCUUUAAUUAUACCCACCAGUGAACUCACUUAAAUAGGAAUCCAGGAGGCUCUGGCAUUAGAAGUUGGCUCCUUCACUGCUGUAGAAACAACGUAAAUUUAACAUAAAACUUGUGCUUUUCCUUUUCAUUCUUUUUCCCCCUCUCCUGGCACUACAAGAGCACCAUUAGGUAAAGAAAUCUUUCACACGCCACUCCCUCAGAACCAGAAGAACAACCAGCUUGUUCCAGCCCAGCUCUGUUGUGGAGAGAAGGCAGCUAGCUACUCCCUUCUGAAAUAUCCUUUCUCUGAGAGCAGCCUACCCUAGCUUGAAAAUGUGUUUAAUAGUUUGAAUUACACAAGUAAAUGGUAAAUAUAUAUGUGUUUCUGCUUUCUGGUACUCUAAAACAAUCCUAAGGUUUUAGAUUACUCCACCUAAUGGCCUAGCAGAAGGAAAGGAAGCCUUCUGCUGGGCAGAGGUCACCGUGUUAGUGUUGGGGCCCUGACCUGCCAGCUGCCCAAAAGAGCUGAGAAGUCACCAAGCGUUUGGCUAUGCCUGAAAGGAGUUACCAGCAUCUUGGAAUAGGGCAUCGCCUCUGUGGGGUGUUCUCUUGGCAUUAGGGCAUGGCAGGUGACCAAGGGUCCUGUUGGAAUUGGAGGCCAACUUGAAAAACAAAUCUAGUUAUGAGCUUGAGUUCAAUAACACUUGUGUUUCCCCAUAACCCAUGUGUAUCAUAAAACAAUAAUUUCUUGGACUUCAGAGCCACACCUGUAAUGGUGCCUGGCAUACAACAGGUGCUCAAUAAAUAUUUGUUGAGUGAAUGAAAGAGUUCAGAAGUGGAUGGGAUCUUGGUCCAACUCUCAUUUGACAGAGAAAGAAACUCGAAGUCCACAGAGGUUCUACAGUUACCAAAGGAAAAAGGUUGCUUUCAUGGCCCAUGGUUUUCAUGGUCCUGUGAAUCAUGUGCUAGCACAGACACCCAGGCGUGUGACCAGCCACCUUGCUGGCACGGGUGCCUUCCACGUCCUGAACCCAGCUUUCUUCAGAACAACCUCCAAAAUUACUUAGGCUGUAAGCUCCUCCAAAUUUGUGUCACCCCUAGGUGAGAAAAUCAAAAGAAUGAAUCCUAUGGGGUUGAAGAUCUCAACAUAAUUGUUGGUUUUAAAACGAUGAAAAAGAUAUUUUCAAAUGUUUGACUCCAUUAAGUAAGAUUUUUAAAAAUUUUACUUUAUCAUAUUUAUUAGUUAUUGCUCUACCUAUAUUAAUAUAAUGCAAGUGUUCCUCUCUGUAUAAUGUUUUAGAGAACCAAAUUGAGAUUUUUUUUGUUAAUUAGACACAUUUUAAUCAAAUUUAGUGUGACUACACCCAACUACAAAACUGAUUGAGCUUAAUUUGAAUUUGUAUAUGUUUUUUCCAAUAAAAGACCCGUUUUCCCAUCUGUAAAAAGGAGUUAGAUGUCGUGAUAGCUAAGGUACCAUCCAAGUCUAAGAAAAAUGCCCUAAAGAGAAGCUUCUGGACAGUUCCCCAGUGGUCCUGGAGCCCCCGAGUCAACAUCACACUUAGUGGCUCUGCGAUCUCGUAGAGGCACCUCAUUGUGCCUCAGUUUUCUCACCUAUCAAAUGCCAACAUAAUGGCACCUAAGGCAGGGGGCCGUAGUGAGGAUUCUGAGAGGUAAUGUAUGGAAAGUGUUCGGUACAUAUUAACUAUUUUAUUGCUGCUGCUACUGUUAUUGAUGUUGUAGUUUCUAGAUUCGCUGCCAUCCAACAAGGUAACCAUGAGCCACCUUGAUGGCUAUGGGGCGUUUGAAAUGUGACUUGUCCAAACUAAGAUGUACUGUGAGUGUAAAAUAUGUCCUGGAUUUUGAAGACUUAGAAUAAGUAUGUAAAAAAAUCUCAAUACUUUUUUGAAUUAAUUACACGUUGAAAUGAAAAUAUUUUCGGUAUAUUGCAUUAAAUAAAAUAUAUUAUUAAUGUUAA